GUGGGGAAUAUUGGGCAAUGGGGGAAACCCUGACCCAGCAACGCCGCGUGAGGGAAGAAGGCUUUCGGGUUGUAAACCUCUGUCCCAUGGGAAGAAAUAAAUGACGGUACCAUGGGAGGAAGCCCCGGCUAACUACGUGCCAGCAGCCGCGGUAAGACGUAGGGGGCAAGCGUUGUCCGGAUUCAUUGGGUUUAAAGGGUGCGUAGGCGGAGCGUUAAGUCAGUGGUGAAAUCCUGCAGCUUAACUGUAGACUUGCCAUUGAUACUGGCGCUCUUGAGUGCGCUUGAAGUGGGCGGAAUGUGCCGUGUAGCGGUGAAAUGCUUAGAUAUGGCACAGAACACCAAUUGCGAAGGCAGCUCACUAAGGCGAUACUGACGCUGAGGCACGAAAGCGUGGGGAUCGAACAGGAUUAGAUACCCGGGUAGUCC
rnacentral:rRNA from 1 species